rnacentral:ncRNA from 2 species
UCGCUUCGCCGUGGCGCUUUGUUCACCGGAUUGCGGGCCACGUUAAACAUCCCGCUAAAGAGGUCAGGCACAGGGAACC